rnacentral:rRNA from 1 species
UACGGAGGAUGCAAGCGUUAUCCGGAUUCAUUGGGUUUAAAGGGUGCGUAGGCGGACUAUUAAGUCAGUGGUGAAAUCCUGCAGCUUAACUGCAGAACUGCCAUUGAUACUGUUAGUCUUGAAUUUGGUUAAGGUAGGCGGAAUGUGUAAUGUAGCGGUGAAAUGCUUAGAUAUUACACAGAACACCAAUUGCGUAGGCAGCUUACUGGACCGACAUUGACGCUGAGGCACGAAAGCGUGGGAUCGAACAGGAUUAGAUACCCUGGUAGUCCACGCCGUAAACGAUGAUUACUCGCUGUUGGCGAUACACAGUCAGCGGCUAAGCAAAAGCAAUAAGUAAUCCACCUGGGGAGUACGGCCGCAAGGUUGAA